rnacentral:rRNA from 1 species
AGCAGCCGCGGUAAUUCCAGCUCCAAUAGCGUAUAUUAAAGUUGCUGCAGUUAAAAAGCUCGUAGUUGAAUUUCGGGACCAAUAUGUCGGUCGUGCCUCGGUACGUACUGGCAUCGUUGGUUUCUCCCUUCUGACGAACCAUGAUGUCAUUUAUUCGGUGUCGUGGGGAAUCAGGACUGUUACUUUGAAAAAAUUAGAGUGUUUAAAGCAGGCUAACGCUUGAAUACAUUAGCAUGGAAUAAUGAAAUAGGACGUUCGAUCUUAUUUUGUUGGUUUCUAAGAUUGACGUAAUGAUUAAUAGGGAUAGUUGGGGGCAUUAGUAUUCAAUUGUCAGAGGUGAAAUUCUUGGAUUUAUUGAAGACUAACUACUGCGAAAGCAUUUGCCAAGGAUGUUUUCAUUAAUCAAGAACGAAAGUUAGGGGAUCGAAGACGAUCAGAUACCCGUCGUAGUCUUAACCAUAAACUAUGCCGACUAGGGAUCGGAUGAUGUUAAUUUUUUAAUGACUCAUUCGGCGUCCG